AGAGUACACCUGCUUCGAGCUCA
rnacentral:siRNA from 1 species